UUUCGGCUCUGAGAAUUCUCUUUCAGUGACUCAUAUUAUUGGUUCUGUUUGUUGUUAUUCCAAAUAUACCUGGCUCUAAUACAUCCUGGCAUAGAAAGAAAGCAUUGCUAAACAUAUCCAUGAGCAAGAGAUCUCUGAAUUACGUGCAUAUUAAUGUACACAUUAAUUUUGAAUUGUACUAUUUUUUCAGAGGAUAGAAUGGGCUCAGGAGGGGAAAUAAACCAAAGGGAGUCAUUGGAAAAGCUGAGAACUGAACAGGCAUAGCCACAUCAAAAAGGAAUCUAUUGGUUCCAUCUUGGGAUGCUUCUUGAUAUUUCACCAUUUAAGGAGGAACGAAAGCUGUUGAACUUUUUGGCAGACUUCACUGCUUUGUAUUGCUGCUCAGGCUAACUACAAGGAAGUCAACGGGAUUCCACAGUGGACUUUGCUGACACAAAUCCUUUGGCUCUACUAUUCAACUAACCUUUGAUUUCUGCUAAGCUGUUAUGCUUCUCUCCAAAAUUGAUCUGUUGCACUCCCCUCUCCACUUGAAUAUAGAAACUUCUGUUCCAGGGUUUUAUCUACAAGAUAAGCAUGCCUAAACAGGCAAUGCCUGGAUUAACAUUUGCUUUGGAAUCUUAUAUAGCCAUGUGCGCUGGAAGAGAGAGAAGAGGUUACUAUCACUCAACAUUACCCUGUUCACAAUCAUGUCUACUCAAGAUAUGAGAUUUUCAAUUUUCAUUCCUGGGAUGGAAAUGAAAAACUGCAAAGCCUGAUGACAUCACAAACCAAGAACAGAACAAGUGGUCCCAAAUAGUAGUCUCUAUGUUUACUGAUUCUGUCUUCUAGACAACUAUUAAAGUAAAGGAGACACAUUCUCUUUACCAUUUGAUUUGCCCAAAUCUUCUACAGCCCAUCCUCUUGUUAGCCAGUCAAAAUCUUCCACAAUCUAUUGAAUAAGAGAUGUAUUUGGGGGGGGGGGUUGCACUUGUCACACUCGAAACAAUGCAUAGUUUAUUUCUAAAUCACAUUCUUUAACAUCAGCAUGAAUACAGGUGAAGUUUGAUGGCUUUUUAAUGUAAUUCUGAGAUGUUUGUCUUAUUUUAAACCAAAGCAACUUGUUCCAGGGUAAAAUAUUUGCACUGACUUCUGUAAAUAUUGUCUCUUCAGUUUCUGUCUGUACAAACCAAGCUUCAGCCUUGAGAUUAGAUGUUUUAAUUCUGCAGACUGGCAGCCAUGCAUGUAAAACUUUAGGAAAUCUGAGGACAGGUCCAUGAAGCCAGAAAAACAUCUCUUUUUUAGAAGUGAUCUUUCCUGGCAAUAAUUUCUCUCCCACAAACUUUGCUUGAUUUCUCUGAAAGUAACUAUAAUAACAGGGGCAGAAAAUGGAGCAGUGAAAUUGAAAGGAGAUAGUUGUACAUAUUCUUUUUUUUUCAUAUUAAUUUGCUUUGCAAUUAGAGUCAGAACUUGUAUUGCUGAGUCCCAGAGGCAUUGGCCUAGCUGGAAACUGUAUCAUAUACCUGCAUCUUGCAAUAGGUGCUGACUAGAUUGUAAAAUAAAUAUUUCAAUGUACUUUGUUUUAUUAAACAAAAUAAUGAUCAUAACAAUAUAACAUGGUACAGCUUUCACAGAAAAGAAAUUGGAACUUAGAUAUAUUUGGAGAAUUGAAAUAAACUUUCUUGUAGUCAUGGUGUAAACAAAUGAUGCUACUUGGAUCGCCACCAAAGUUCCCUAAUUUUCUACACUCUGUGGUGUUGGCCUGUCUCAUACAAGGGAGAAUGUUGGCCACACUUCAUGGGAGACAUGCUUUUUAUGGACUAACUUAAGUAAAGUGGAAAGUUUAUAGCAGGAAAUGUCCACAGUUGUUUUAAGGUCAUUUUUCAAAGAAGAAAAGCAAAAAAUAAAAAGGAAGAAAUCCAAAAUGGAGGUUGCAUAUUUAAAUCUAAUGUCGUGUGCUUUGGUAUGAAUAGAAUAGAAUAGAAUAAAAUAGAAUAGAAUAGAAUAGAAUAGAAUAGAAUAGAAUAGAUCUUGGAGGUCUUCUAGUCCAAUCUGCUGUUCAAGCAAGAGACUC